rnacentral:rRNA from 1 species
AACGAACGCUGGCGGCAUGCCUAACACAUGCAAGUCGAACGAGACCUUCGGGUCUAGUGGCGCACGGGUGCGUAACGCGUGGGAACCUGCCCUUAGGUUCGGCAUAACUCCCCGAAAGGGGUGCUAAUACCGGAUAAUGUCUUCGGCCCAAAGAUUUAUCGCCUUUGGUUGGGCCCGCGUUGGAUUAGCUAGUUGGUAGGGUAAAAGCCUACCAAGGCGACGAUUCAUAGCUGGUCUGAGAGGAUGAUCAGCCACACUGGGACUGAGACACGGCCCAGACUCCUACGGGAGGCAGCAGUGGGGAAUAUUGGACAAUGGGCGAAAGCCUGAUCCAGCAAUGCCGCGUGAGUGAUGAAGGCCUUAGGGUUGUAAAGCUCUUUUACCCGGGAUGAUAAUGACAGUACCGGGAGAAUAAGCUCCGGCUAACUCCGUG